AGAAGUACUAAUUAUAAAUCGCUCUGGAUAAGAGCGUCUGCUAAAUGACUAAAA
rfam:Salmo salar isolate Sally breed double haploid chromosome ssa03, whole genome shotgun sequence.